rnacentral:rRNA from 1 species
UACGUAGGUGGUAAGCGUUAUCCGGAUUUAUUGGGCGUAAAGAGAACGCAGGCGGUCUUUUAAGUCUGAUGUGAAAGCCUUCGGCUUAACCGGAGUAGUGCAUUGGAAACUGGGAGACUUGAGUGCAGAAGAGGAGAGUGGAACUCCAUGUGUAGCGGUGAAAUGCGUAGAUAUAUGGAAGAACACCAGUGGCGAAAGCGGCUCUCUGGUCUGUAACUGACGCUGAGGUUCGAAAGCGUGGGUAGCAAACAGG